rnacentral:rRNA from 1 species
CGCGGCCUAUCAGCUUGUUGGUGAGGUAAAGGCUCACCAAGGCAUCGACGGGUAGCUGGUCUGAGAGGACGAUCAGCCACACUGGGACUGAGACACGGCCCAGACUCCUACGGGAGGCAGCAGUAGGGAAUCUUGCGCAAUGGGCGAAAGCCUGACGCAGCAACGCCGCGUGGGGGAAGAAGGCUCUAGGGUCGUAAACCCCUUUCAGCAGGGACGAAAAUGACGGUACCUGCAGAAGAAGCGCCGGCCAACUACGUGCCAGCAGCCGCGGUAAUACGUAGGGCGCAAGCGUUGUCCGGAUUUAUUGGGCGUAAAGGGCUCGUAGGCGGUCUAGUAAGUCAGAUGUGAAAGGUUGGGGCUCAACCCUAAGACUGCAUCCGAUACUGCUAUGACUAGAGUCCGGUAGAGGAGUGUGGAAUUCCUGGUGUAGCGGUGAAAUGCGCAGAUAUCAGGAGGAACACCGACGGCGAAGGCAGCACUCUGGACCGGUACUGACGCUCGGGAGCGAAAGCGUGGGUAGCAAACAGGAUUAGAUACCCUGGUAGUCCACGCCGUAAACGUUGGGCACUAGGUGUGGGGCCUUAUCAACGGGUUCCGUGCCGUAGCUAACGCAUUAAGUGCCCCGCCUGGGGAGUACGG